rnacentral:rRNA from 1 species
CCCUUCGAUGUUCUGGGCUGCACGCGCGCUACACUGACGCACGCAACAGGUGCCUGCUCCGAGAGGACUGGGUAAUCAUUUGAGUGUGCGUCGUGAUGGGGAUAGAAUAUUGUAAUUAUUACUCUUCAACGAGGAAUUCCUAGUAAGCGCCAGUCAGCAGCUUGCGCUGAUUACGUCCCUGCCCUUUGUACACACCGCCCGUCGCUCCUACCGAUGGGUGAUCCGGUGAAUGAUUCGGACUUCAGCGGCUCCCCUGGGGUGCGCCGGAGAAAGUUUUGUGAACCUUAUCACUUGGAGGAAGGAGAAGUCGUAACA